UGCAGCGACGCCGCGUGAGGGAUGAAGGCCUUCGGGUUGUAAACCUCUUUCAGCAGGGACGAAGCGAAAGUGACGGUACCUGCAGAAGAAGCACCGGCUAACUACGUGCCAGCAGCCGCGGUAAUACGUAGGGUGCGAGCGUUGUCCGGAAUUACUGGGCGUAAAGAGUUCGUAGGCGGUUUGUCGCGUCGUCUGUGAAAACCCAUCGCUCAACGAUGGGCCGGCAGGCGAUACGGGCAGACUUGAGUACUGCAGGGGAGACUGGAAUUCCUGGUGUAGCGGUGAAAUGCGCAGAUAUCAGGAGGAACACCGGUGGCGAAGGCGGGUCUCUGGGCAGUAACUGACGCUGAGGAACGAAAGCGUGGGUAGCAAACAGGAUUAGAUACCCUGGUAGUCCACGCCGUAAACGGUGGGCGCUAGGUGUGGGUUCCUUCCACGGGAUCUGUGCCGUAGCUAACGCAUUAAGCGCCCCGCCUGGGGAGUACGGCCGCAAGGCUAAAACUCAAAGGAAUUGACGGGGGCCCGCACAAGCGGCGGAGCAUGUGGAUUAAUUCGAUGCAACGCGAAGAACCUUACCUGGGUUUGACAUAUACUGGAAAGCUGCAGAGAUGUAGCCCCCCUUGUGGCCGG
rnacentral:rRNA from 1 species